ensembl:lncRNA
GCUAAAAGAUUCACAGAACUCCUCUGAAAUCCAAGACCAACCACAGUCCUGCCAGAGCCCGCAGCAUUCUCCUGGACGCCAGAUGAGAGCAGAAAAGGUCAAGCGUAAUCUGACUGCUUCAGGUCAUGGUAGUGAAGUCUUGACAGCAGGCCCUGGUGUUAAAGAAGAUCAAGGGGAGAAGCUCAUUCCAGAGAGCACAGCUAAGGAGGAGAUUUCACAAAGCUUGUUCAAAUGUUCUCCUGGGCAGCGGACAACAGCGGAAAAGAACCAGCACAAUCUGACUGCUUCAGAAGGAGAUCAGAUAGACCAGUGUCAUACUGGGUCAGAUCCGUCACCAGAGGACAGGAGCAGCACUGCCAUGGAGAAUCAAGUGGGCAUGCAAGACUCUAAAGAGGCUGAUCAACGUAUGGAGGAGGGUUUAAAUUUACAUCAUUUAGAGUUUCUGACUUCAUCUGAAGUUAAUGGUCAGACAUUACUGAAAAGAGCAGUUGUGUUGGUGUCUCAUGACGAAGUGAAGCACUACCUCAGGAGUCAAGCACAAACCACUGCAGAGGAAUCAACAACCUCUGAGAGUCAGCAGGACGCAGCACCUGCCACAGACCUUCACGUCAGUACUGGAGGAGUUUACUCUGUGUGUGUGAUCUGUUAUUGUUUGUGCAUUACUCAAGUAGUAAUCAGUUAA